AAAUAAAAGCGUUGGCAACACCGCACUUGACAGCUUUUUGUAUUGAUAAAAAUCUAUGCCUUCAAGCUUUCAAUCCAAUUUCAAUCAUAGAUUUCAAUCUUUACUAUUCGUUUAGUUUGGAAAUUCAUUUUAUGAAAGAAAAGAGAUAUUUUUAUGAUAAUGGUUAAAUUUAAAUACUGUGCGGCGUGUUUAGUGACUGAUGUGAAAAUGUAUUGUUUAUCUGAAAAGUUUUCGAGCAAUCCUAUAAUUACACUGGGAGAUAUUUAUUCGCAACUACUUCAAAUCAAUAAUAUCAACAAAACUCAGCAUGUGUGCUUUGAAUGUACAAGACUUUUAUAUAAGUACCAUGAGUUCAAAUCCAAAUGUCAUAAGGCUCAAUCUUUAAUGUCUUUGGUGGCUGGAGCUGAUGACUCUGAAAUUAAAAAUGUCGUAAUUCAAAACAUUGAUAGAGUUUUUUACAA